GUGCUCAAUUCAGCAGCACAUAUACUAAAAUUGGAACAAUACUGAGAAGAUUUGCAUGAACCCUGUAUAAUGAUGUUACAGAAAUUCAUGAAGCAUUCCAUAUUUUA